rnacentral:lncRNA from 1 species
GUUUGUAUUACCCCUACGAUUGAGUAAGUGACUCUAGCUUGAUCUUUAUGGUCGCUAGAGGGAGGAAAGUGGCUUGGUGUGAUAAGCCCACCCUUCGUGGGUCCUCAACGGAGACGUAGGCUUCGCAGUGUGAAGCUAAACUCCGGUAAAAAAUCCUUGUGUCUCUCUUGCUUGUUUUUCUUACAUUCUUUCAUAUUCUUGCAUAGGACACAUAUCUAGGGUUUGUGCUUGAUCUACUUUUCUAGCAAGUUUGAAGCUGUACUAUCUUGUCUCAGAGGCUUAGAAUAACCUAUGGAACAACCUAUGUUCAUCAAUCUUGAGGUUGUAGUUGUUUCUCGUCAAAGCCCAAAAAAAACUGAAGAUUUCUCCAGAAAUUUCCGAACCUUCAGAAAUUUUCAGAACAAUCUCCGGAAAUUUUCGAAAGUUGCUGAUAAGCUUGUUUAAGUGUAAAAUUUUUCAGAUCCGACUAUUCACCCCCCUCUAGUCGACAUCCUAGAUCCUUUCACUGGUGAUACCCCAAGUAGGGCGCAUCCAGUUGUCGAGUCGAUGACUUGAUCAAUCCUAGGGAGCCCGAAGGAAUCCUUUGGAUAGUGCUUGUUGAGGUCUAUGUAGUCGACACACAUCCUCCACUCGUUGUUUUUUUCUUUCGCACCAAGACGGGAUUGGCUAGCCACUCUAGAUGAUAGAUUUCUUUUAUGAAGUCGGCCGUGAGUAGUUUGGCCAGUUCUUUUUUGAUUGC